CGGGAGUCAGUUACGUACGAGGAAGGAUUAGCACCCUCGUAACGCCCAAAAUUGGUACCUAGUUAAUUAAUUAGUGUCUUAAGGUCGAGAAUUUGGAAAAACGUAAUCCUUAGCAAAACUUAAAAGGCUACGUAUUAAGACCCUUAUUAUUUCAGAGAAAGAAGAUACCACACCCAAUGCGUUAGGGCACAACAUUCUAAUUUUCCCCCAAAAAUGAAUUGGGCCAAAAUACUUAUACAAUAAAACUUUAAAAGAACAUCCACUUAUCCAAGAUUUAAGAAAUCACACCCAAUACGUUAGGGCACUAUUCCUUUAGAAUCCCAAACUCGGAAUAUUUCCUUUACUUUAAAAGAAAGUCCGCUUAUCCAAGAUUUAAGAAAUCACACCCAAUAC
rnacentral:lncRNA from 1 species